rnacentral:rRNA from 1 species
UUUGCCUACGGGGCGCAGCAGUGGGGGAUAUUGCACAAUGGGGGGAACCCUGAUGCAGCGACGCCGCGUGGGUGAAGAAGUAUUUCGGUAUGUAAAGCCCUAUCGGCAGGGAAGAAUUUAGACGGUACCUGACUAAGAAGCCCCGGCUAACUACGUGCCAGCAGCCGCGGUAAUACGUAGGGGGCAAGCGUUAUCCGGAUUUACUGGGUGUAAAGGGAGCGUAGACGGCAUGGCAAGUCAGAUGUGAAAGCCCGGGGCUCAACCCCGGGACUGCAUUUGAAACUGUCAGGCUGGAG